rnacentral:tRNA from 1 species
GGCUUGGUGGUCUAGUGGCUAUCACUUCUGAUUUAUAUGCGGAAGGUCCUGGGUUCAAUCCCUGGCCCGGCCC